rnacentral:rRNA from 1 species
AAUGCAUCGGAACGCGUCCUGUAAUGGGGGAUAACCUGGCGAAAGUCAGGCUAAUACCGCAUACGUCCUGAGGGAGAAAGCGGGGGAUUGGCAACGACCUCGUGUUAUAGGAGCGGCCGAUGUCGGAUUAGCUAGUUGGUGGGGUAAAGGCCUACCAAGGCGACGAUCCGUAGCGGGUCUGAGAGGACGGCCCGCCACACCGGGACUGAGACACGGCCCAGACUCCUACGGGAGGCAGCAGUGGGGAAUUUUGGACAAUGGGGGCAACCCUGAUCCAGCCAUGCCGCGUGAGUGAAGAAGGCCUUCGGGUUGUAAAGCUCUUUCGGCCGGGAAGAAAUCGCUUCGGCUAAUACCUGGAGUGGAUGACGGUACCGGAAGAAGAAGCACCGGCUAACUACGUGCCAGCAGCCGCGGUAAUACGUAGGGUGCGAGCGUUAAUCGGAAUUACUGGGCGUAAAGCGUGCGCAGGCGGUUUUCGUAAAGACAGAUGUGAAAUC